GUAGGGCAACGGGUACGGCAGUUCUCACAGUGGAUGCGGGGUGAAUGCACGGAAGUCCAAGGAAACCCAGCUUGGGGACAAAUGGGCACGCCCAGUCAGCCUACACCAUAGCGGAAACAAGAGCAAAAGGAGAAAGCACAUGGGGUGCCCCAGGAAGAUUCUUGGAUGCAUGCAACUUACAGAGUCUGCUUUUCCUCUCCCAGCGAAGAGCCCAGAUAUGGCAGGGCCUGGAGAAAGGAGAAUAAGAAGAUAGGCUGAUGGCUUCUUGAAGGUUGCAUGAAGAUGCAAUGAGGCACUGCCACUGGAACGCAAGGCAUUUGAUUGUAGUCUCCUGCCCUUCACUAGAGUCAACCAUAGCAAAUGAGAGGACCAAAAUGUCCUUUGGAUACUCCGAACUGUGAAAACUUACAGUGCUCAUUACUGCCUUCGUCAGACGGAUUCUUUUCUGGGAGAGGAGCUGGAAGAAGAAAGAGGAGUUAAGUAUUGUAUCUGGCAACCCUCACCACAAGCAAACCGGAGUACCGGCUUAGCUAGCUGAGAAGUCUAGAGGCUGGCCUGCCUUCGGCACAAGCUGGUGCCGGGGCCUACCGGAAGUCACCAAGAAAGUGCCUCUCUCCUCAGAUGCAGACAUCAAGGCUCAGAGAAGUCAAGGACAUCAUUCAAAUGUGCACAGACAAGUAUUUGUUCACUGGUCAUCUUAUUUGAUAAGUCCAGAGGAAAAGAAUUGUGUCAACUCAUCACUAAAUGCAAUUCCUGUGAAGCUUCCUUAUUCCUGAGAGCAAGUGAGAAUAAAAAGUAUGAAGAAACAUAAGGAGUACGGUAUUGGAAGAGGAAAGAAGGGAAUGAAUUCAAGAGCUCAUAUGGGAAAGUAAAUAAGAUUGACUCUUCCUCUGGGAUAGGAGGGAAAGUAGAGACAAAGAAGAAGCAAAGAGGGAUGACGUAGAGAAAGCAAAGACGAAGAGGUUGAUGAUAGCCAGAGGCCUGGAUCUUUCCAGCAAAGCAGCAUGGGUGGGAAGCUAUCUUUGUUUCCCUCACUAGACAGUAAGAUGUGUCAGGGCAGGGAUUGGGUCUGUUUUGUCCCCUUACUGUAAUGCCCAUCACCUAGUGUAGCAGGUGGCAUAUUGCUGAUUCUCAAUUUGUAUUUGUUGAACAAAAUUUAUCAAAGAAUGUGGACAUUAGGAACUUAGAAGAACAGGAAAUGCUGGGAAUAGCUAUGUUAGAAAUCAGUAAGAAAUGAAUAAUGGGGUUGCAAAUUUGAGGUUAGCUGGUAUGCAAAGUUCAGAAGCUAGAAUGGAAAAGCAGGCAGAUUGGAAUUGGUGUGAUCAAGAGAGUGGGAUAGAAAAGGAGUAGGAGGGCUCAGUAUGCAAGCAAAGGUGAUGGAAGCCAGGCUGGAAAUGGGGUCAAAGAUGAAAACCUAUUGGAAGCAGCAAUAGACUGUUAAGGUCAUGUGAUUAGAGGCAAUUCUGAGGGUUUUAGGCAAUGAGCCCGUUUAAAACACCAGUGUGGCAUAUAACUUUGUCACAGGCUAAGUAAGCAUCCAACUCAAAUUUUUCUCUCACUUCUGUGACUGUUCAGACAUGGAUUGUGUCUGAUUUGUUUUCUCUUGU